rnacentral:rRNA from 1 species
UACGGAGGGUGCAAGCGUUGUCCGGAUUUAUUGGGUUUAAAGGGUGCGUAGGUGGCUUGUUAAGUCCGGGGUGAAAGCCCACAGCUCAACUGUGGAACUGCCCUGGAUACUGGCGAGCUUGAGUCCAGACGAGGUUGGCGGAAUGGAUGCUGUACGCGGUGAAAUGCAUAGAUAGCAUCCAGAACCCCGAUUGCGUAGGCAGCUGACUAGGCUGGUACUGACACUGGAGGC